AUUGGCCCCAACAACUUAAAGGGACACUAUAGUCACCCAAACCACAACCCCAAAUGUUGUGGUUCUGGUGUCUUUAUACUGUCCAUACAGGCUUUUCAAUGUAACCAAUGUCUCUUCAGGUUUACAUUGCUGCCUAGUAACAUCUCUAGUGGCAGUCACUCUGCCAGCCACUAGAAGUGCUUCCUUUCUCAGUGCUGCACACAGUGCAGCAUCUACGGUCAGCAUCU